rnacentral:rRNA from 1 species
UACGGAAGGCAGCAGUGGGGAAUAUUGCACAAUGGGCGCAAGCCUGAUGCAGCCAUGCCGCGUGUAUGAAGAGGGCCUUCGGGUUGUAAAGUACUUUCAGUCGUGAGGAAGGUGUUAAGGUUAAUAACCUUAGCAAUUGACGUUAGCGACAGAAGAAGCACCGGCUAACUCCGUGCCAGCAGCCGCGGUAAUACGGAGGGUGCGAGCGUUAAUCGGAAUUACUGGGCGUAAAGGGCACGCAGGCGGUUAAUUAAGUUGGAUGUGAAAUCCCCGGGCUUAACCUGGGAAUGGCAUUCAAGACUGGUUAGCUAGAGUCUUGUAGAGGGGGUAGAAUUCCAUGUGUAGCGGUGAAAUGCGUAGAGAUGUGGAGGAAUACCGGUGGCGAAGGCGGCCCCUGGGACAAAGACUGACGCUCAUGUGCGAAAGCGUGGGGAGCAAACAGGGAUUAGAUACC